AAAGGGUAAAUGAUAAAGGAGCAUCCUUGCCUAAAAUGAAUGAAUAUAAUGGGUAAAUGCUUAUCUUUACAGUGUGACUCACUGCUUCAAGCUGACCUCUGAAUAGAGUAUACACAGGCCACUUAUACAUUCUCCAUCAAAUCAUUAAGAGUGAAAUGACAAUGACCAACCACUGUCUCUGACAUUUCCUACAUAUGAAAAGCAUUUAGGAGAUGGAAAGACCAGGCAGUCAUGAAACAGCUAUGAAGACGCAAGAGCAAAAACAUCAGCAGUGACAUUCAGCUGCUCGAUUAUGCCAGAAAGUGGUUGAUGAUAAAGGUUUUGAAAAGUUAUUGAAAAAUGGAGAUAUUGGAACCCUCGGGGAGCUUGUCACGAGGAGAGAAGAACUGCUCGACCAGCACGUGAGCAAGGACCAGCAGGAGUGUAAUGUGAGAGCCAGCAGGCACUGCCAGGUGCUGAAGCUUGACAGCGGUGUGCACCAUGCUUUCAGUACUCCGUUAACAGCCCCAGACAAGGCUGCCUUUGCCUCUUGGCCUCCUGAAUUGCAAUCAUGUGCAUGAAAUUUCAUAUCCCAGUGCUCAGUUCAGUCCUUCCAGACCCACAGCAAUUUCCAUUAGUGGCCACAGCCACAUUCCCCCUGCACCUGGGAAGGGAGACAUACAGAAAUAUUUAUGAAGCCCCAAGCAGGCGCCCGUCCCAGCAGCCACUGUGGUGUGUUGAUCAGCAGCCCAG